rnacentral:sRNA from 1 species
AUCUUUCUUUUCUGGCCUGGGAACAUGGCAUCUGCCUUUUCCAAAGGCAAGAAGUUGUCAUAGUGACCAGCCUAUGUGUCCUUCCUCAGGGAAAGCCAUUUGGACUUUAAACCCAAACUACUUGUCCAACGGUACCUUGGCUGCCCCAGUUGUGGUACUGCCAGACUUGGAUGAAGAUGGUGUUCGAGACCUUGUGGUUCUGGCCAUUGGGGAAUUGCAGUGAUGGUGUUGAACUACUCCAGAUGGUGAAGGCACCAGAUUCCAACUGCAGCAACCUUCUGAUUACAACCAGACAAAGCCUUGUGCUGCUUCGGGGGCAAAAUCUGACACCUUACUGGGCAUUGAGACUUCAAGGCCUGCGCAGCCAGCCUACUCCUGGAUAUUUCACUGAUGAUCAGACAUUAGACUUCCUUCUGCAGAUACAGGACGGAGUUGGGAUGAAAAAGAUGAUGGUUGUGGAUGGUGACUCUGGCUCCGUUGUUUGGAGUUACCGUGCUCCGUGUCACAUGAAAGAAACGCCAGCCACCUCAGCAGUUACUUCAGACCAGAAGUCUGUCUUCCUCUUCUGGGCCGAAGGGCUGUCAGCUGCAUCUCCCAAUUCCGAUAUCAUCCUAGGAACUGAGCCGCCCAGCCUUCACCACCUUUACCUCCUGCAUCCUGCGUUCCCCUCCAUCCUUCUGGAUCUGGCCAACACCACCGGCACAGUGACGGCUUCAGAGGGACAACAGGGCCAAGCUCCGAAGGCCAUCCAGCAGCCCUGGUGGUCAGCAAGCUUAGUCUACGGUGGGCACUAAUGGAGGGCCAGAUGGCUCAGCUACAGGAGUCCACCCCCAAAAUUGGCCGUGGGGAGCUGCGAAGAUUUCUCUCUAGGAUAAAGUUUGUUGAAGCUCCCUACGAGAUCUAAUCUGAUGGAAUCUUCAGUUGCAGAAGAAGUGAACAGAGUGGAUACCCUCUCUACUCUCCUGUCACUGUAAAAUCAGUUCUAUGGAGAGAAGACUUCUUCGUCCUCAUUUACCACCUCCCUGAUGGUUGCAAAGGCUUGGGAAGGCAUGCUGGAGUCUUUGACGGCAGCAUGGUCUAUUUGGCUGGGGCGUCUUACCUACCUUUUCAGUCCCUGCAUUAAUCCCCUCUAGGAACUCUGCGUGGAUCGUUUGGAAAUGUGAAUCUCUUAAGUAUUUAAUUUUUUUGGUAUGUCUAAUUUAUGAAGUCUUGCUGGGAAAGCCAGUGAAGUCUAUGACUAGGAAACAUUUUGUUGUACAUUGUGCUGUGUGUGUGUAUAUUUUAGUGUUGUGGUGAAGUUAUUUUCCAGGUAUGUCCUAAGCUUCAGGGAUCCAGUUUCUUGUCCUUCUGAAAUAUAUCUGGUUUGUUUGGUCAUUUUGAGACUUCCAGAUGCCCUACCUGUGGUGUUGAGGGCCACUUAUUUCUCUCCUUAUUCUUUCCCACCUGUACCUUGGCUACUUCCAAAUUGUAGACAGAGUGAGAAAGAUUUAUAGUGGAAGACUGAGUUAGCCAUCCAAGCAUUUUCAUCUCUUUUGUUUUAUAUCCUAUUUCCUUUGAUUUUCCAUCCAUGUCUAUUAAGUGACCAC